GGGCGAUUAGCUCAGUGGAAGAGCGCUACCUUGACACGGUAGAGGUCACUGGUUCGAUCCCAGUAUCGCCCA
rnacentral:tRNA from 1 species